rnacentral:rRNA from 1 species
UACGUAGGGGGCAAGCGUUGUCCGGAAUCAUUGGGCGUAAAGAGCUCGUAGGCGGUUUGUCGCGUCUGCUGUGAAAACUCGGGGCUUAACCCCGGGCCUGCAGUGGGUACGGGCAGACUAGAGUGCGGUAGGGGAGACUGGAAUUCCUGGUGUAGCGGUGAAAUGCGCAGAUAUCAGGAGGAACACCGGUGGCGAAGGCGGGUCUCUGGGCCGUAACUGACGCUGAGGAGCGAAAGCGUGGGUAGCAAACAGG